rnacentral:pre_miRNA from 1 species
CUUCUACUCCCUCCGUUCGGAAUUACUUGUCUCGGAAAUGGAUGUAUCUAGAACUAAAAUACAUCUAGAUACAUCCAUUUCUACGACAAGUAAUUCCGAACGGAGGGAGUAAUAA